rnacentral:lncRNA from 13 species
GUAAUAAUGAUUAUUAUUCAGUAACUGGAGAGACUGAGUCAGGGGUUUGAUCGUUGUCUCUCACACGUCACAAUGUUUCCACUACACUCAUAUUUUACUUUAUUCAUCCAAUAAAUAUUUCGUGACUUCUCUGUUCCAGGCACAAUGCUGAGCAUCAGGGCUCUAAAGACUUGGCCAUGAAAAAAGCUGAAGUCCCCAGAAGAAGAGAUAAGACUUGUACUACAAGGCUGUCCAUCAAGAAAAGACAUGAAAGAGAUUGAAAAAAAGACGGCUGCAGGUGCAGCCAGGAGUCCCUGGAAUAUGCAGAAUAUAUAUGUGCAUCCCUCACACAGUGAUGUCAGCCACACUUUUCUACAAGUACUUGACUUGAUGGAGUCUCUGUAGCCCAGGCUGGAGUGCAGUGUCACAAUCUCGGCUCACUGCAACCUCCAGCUCCCGCAUCCUGGUUCAGGCAAUUCUCCUACCUCAGCCUCCCAAGUAUCUGGGAUUACAGGCAUGAGCCACCAUGCCCAGCUAAUUUUUGUGUUUUUUAGUAGAGACGGGGUUUU